AGAGACCCUGCCAGGGCUUGGAACGCAGUGCUCUUGAAAACGACUGGGGCCGGUGACGGUCCUCGUGGGUUCGAAUCCCACGCUCUCCGC
rnacentral:tRNA from 1 species